GUGUUUCUUUAAGUUACUUCUAAACAGAUGUUGAUGGGUAGUAUUAGAAGUUGUACUAGGGGUAGGAAAAACUUUUAGAUUAUGAGUUGAAUGAUGGGUUGGAUUAAGGGCUGGAUUAGGGGUUGUACUAAAGAUUGGUUGGAUAAGGGUUGGAUUAAGGUUAGGAAUUAUAUUAGAGGUAGGAUUAGGGAAAAAGCUAUACAUGUGGGGUAUCAUUGUACUCGACAAUAG